rnacentral:lncRNA from 1 species
GCUGCUAUGUUUUACUGCAUGAACUCUUGUGUUUUGUUUUGUUUUUUUUGUUUUUUAAUUCAAAUUAAUAUGUUCACCUUCACCCAAAUGCCUUGAUGACUUCUCUUUUCAUCAACCAAAUCUAAUUGAAAACUUGAAUGUCCACAUGGUAACAUAUUGGUUUGAAUUUAAGUUUGUAAUGCUACAUUUAGUUCUCUUGUUCAGUUAUUCAAUAUUCAUUUUAUGUAACUAAACUUAGAGUGUGAACAAAUAAAAAAGAGAAUUGUCUUGUUUUUUGAAAAAAAAA